rnacentral:rRNA from 1 species
UACGAAGGGGGCUAGCGUUGUUCGGAAUCACUGGGCGUAAAGGGCGCGUAGGCGGCUUUAUAAGUCGGGGGUGAAAGCCUGUGGCUCAACCAUAGAAUUGCCUUCGAUACUGUAGAGCUUGAGACCGGAAGAGGUAAGUGGAACUGCGAGUGUAGAGGUGAAAUUCGUAGAUAUCAAGCAGAACACCUGCGGCGAAGGCGGCCUUCUGGACGAUGACUGACGCUGAGACACGAAAGCGUGGGGAGCAAACAGG